UCUUCAGUUCGCGCCAAGUUGCGCUGGGGAGAGGUGUGCGUGGGAAAGCCAGAGCCCAAGAACUGUGCUGACUGUAAUCUUGUUUUAAACAGGAAUAAAACAACGCAGAGCUGAUUCCAGAGUGAUUCCGGUGUGAUUCUUUCUACAACCGUUAUAGUAGUGCAAAAACAGAAAAACAAAAACAGGAAAAAA